rnacentral:rRNA from 1 species
GACGAACGCUGGCGGCGUGCUUAACACAUGCAAGUCGAACGAAGCGGCGAACGGGUGAGUAAUACGUGGGUAACCUGCUCUCCUUUUUGGGAUAAGCAUUGGAAACGGGGUAUACUACCGACUAAAGGGGGAGGGGCUCGCGGCCUAUCAGCUUGUUGGAGGGGUUAUGGCCUACCAAGGCGGUGACGGGUAGUCAGCCUGAGAGGGUGACCGGCGACAUUGAGACGGGGAUGCGGCCCAGAGUCCGACGGGGGGGAGCAGUGGGGGAUAUUGCAGAAUGGGCGAAAGCCUGAUGCAGCGACGCUGCGUAGGGGAUGAAGGCUUUCGGGUUGUAAACGUCUUUAGCAAUCGAACGGGUAUGUGGAGAAGAAGCGCCGGCUAACUACGUGCCAGCAGCCGCGGUAAUAC